AUGCCUGAGGAAGGACGCCUGGAUGAGCCGGAAUGUUCCCCCCUCCGCCAGAGGAGAGAAAGUUUGUCAUUUACCCAGAGCUGGGCUGUCCCCACUCGGGGUCGUCUACUUGCCUGGCUCUGGGCGCUGAAGCCGCAGCCUGCAGAGAAGCCGCCGAGGGGCCCCGAACCGUUUCGCAGCCGCCCAGCGCCCCGCUGCCUUGCGGAGCCCUCUCACCAGGUGCAGGCCCCUCAGCCCUUACCUGAGGGGAUGGGGGAGUGUCUCAGCCGCUUGCGAACUCUGCCCGCGGAGCCCAGCAGGCGCCUGGGGUCUCUCCCUGCGACUCCCGCGUCCCGCUUGGCGCGCCCGCUCCGUGGGCGCCUUCCCAGCUGCCAGCUGCUGCAGUGGCAUCAAGGAAAGAGGAGUCUGGAUUUCUUUUCUCGCCACCGAGGCUCCUCCAGCCGGGCCGGGGCUAUUUCUCCGGGGCUGGUGGUGCCAGGGGCAUCCUCCGCGCCUCCAGCGGGAAAGUGGAAGAGUGCGCGUCCUGGAUUGCAGCAGCGGCGACAGCGGUGGCCGGGGACGAGGAGGAGGCGGUGGCGACGCCAGCCGGCGAGCCGGGGAGGCAGGCGGAGGCGAGAGGAAGUGGAAGCCGGGCUCCCGCGAGCCUGGCGCUCGGGCGGACCGGCGGGCGGGCGGCGCUGCGGGGGCCCCGUGCCGCGGCGAGGCCCCCGCGCAGAGUCCCCGCCCCGGGGAUGCCCGGCUCCGGGCGCGCGGGGCGCGGGGCGCGGGCUGCGGCGGGGGCGCGGGCCUCCGGCCACCUCGCUUGUCGCUCGCUCGCUGCGUCCCUCGCUGGCUCGCCCGCCGCCCCGGACUUCACGUCUCCAGCCCCAGCUCCCGCGCCGCUGCCACCGCCACCGCCGCCGCCGCCGCCAGCAGCGCGCUUCUGCCCGGCGCGCUCCUCGCGCGGAGCCACAGCGCUGCCUCCCGCUUAACUCCUUGCGCGCCACCUGGCCCUCCCGCGGCCUCCCCGGGAGCCGGGCGGCCCGGGGGCCAGGCCUGCUGCGGAGCUCGGGUAACGGCCUCCGUCCCCGAGCCUCAGUUGCCUCGUCUGUAAAAUGGGCUGGAGAGACCCAAGUCAUGGGGUUAUUUGGAGAAUUAACUGAGAUGAUUGGCGAAGUGAUGCGCUGCCUGUCACUGAGGAAGUGCUCAAUACAUGGGAGAGUCUUUGUUGUUGCUGCUGAUGCUGUUCAAAACGGUUAG
rnacentral:lncRNA from 1 species